rnacentral:rRNA from 1 species
GACGAACGCUGGCGGCGUGCUUAACACAUGCAAGUCGAACGGAAAGUCCCUGCUUUUUUGGGGUGCUCGAGUUGCGAACGGGUGAGUAACACUUGAGUAACCUGCCCUUGACUUUGGGAUAACUUCAUGAAACUGGGUCUAAUACCGGCUAGGAUCUCCUGCUGCAGGGUGGGGGUUGGUAAGUUUCGGCGGUUGGCGAUGGACUCGCGUCUUAUCGGAUUGUUGGUUGGGUAGUGGAUUACCAAGGCUUGGACGGGUAGCCGGCCUGGGAGGGUGACCGGCCACAUCGGGACUGAAAUGCGGCACAGCCCACUACGGGAGGCAGCGGAGGGGAAUGUAGCAUAGUGGGCGGAAGGAUGAUCUAGCCAAGCAGCGUGCGGGAUGACGGCAUUCGGGUUGUAAACUGAUUUCGUCUGUCCCGAAGCGUGAGUGACGGUAAUGGGUAAAGAAGCACCGGCUAACUCCGUG